rnacentral:rRNA from 1 species
GACGAACGCUGGCGGCGUGCUUAACACAUGCAAGUCGAACGGAAAGGCCCAGCUUGCUGGGUGCUCGAGUGGCGAACGGGUGAGUAACACGCGGGUGAUCUGCCCCUAACUUCGGGAUAAGCUUGGGAAACUGGGUCUAAUACCGGAUAGGACAAUCGUUUAGUGUCGGUUGUGGAAAGUUUUUUCGGUUAGGGAUGAGCCCGCGGCCUAUCAGCUUGUUGGUGGGGUAAUGGCCUACCAAGGCGUCGACGGGUAGCCGGCCUGAGAGGGUGGACGGCCACAUUGGGACUGAGAUACGGCCCAGACUCCUACGGGAGGCAGCAGUGGGGAAUAUUGCACAAUGGGCGCAAGCCUGAUGCAGCGACGCCGCGUGGGGGAUGACGGCCUUCGGGUUGUAAACCUCUUUCGACAGGGACGAAGCUUUGGUGACGGUACCUGUAUAAGAAGCACCGGCUAACUACGUG